GAUUUUUAUGCAUUCAUUUUUUUCUACCUUUAUUAUCAUUUUCCUUAUAUAAUGGUCAAGCAAAAUAAAAAAGGUUAAUUUGAAGUUUAAUUACGGAACUAUCCUGAAUCCAUAGGUGAUUACGUGCCCACAUGACCACAUCUGGCCAUCUACCAGGGGUAAAAACGUAACUUGAGAGAUGGUAAUGGAGUAAAUGCUGACACUAUAAAAGAGGAACCUCGAGAGUUGAGAGCUCAACAAUGGCGAAAAGCUCAGAAGAAAAGAAUGAGGCUGCGGAGGUGAGUUUGGGAUUUCUGUAAGGGUGGUUGCCCUCUCCUCUGCUAGCCAAUGAUUCUUUCUUUCAUUUUUGAAAAAAAAAAUAAAAAUCAACAACCCUGUUCUUUCAAAGAAACAUAUAUAUGUUUGUGUGUUUGGAAAAUGGUGUUUUCCCUUGUUUUUGGUCACAAUUAAUGUGAUGUACGAGGAAUUCCACAACUCACAACUCACAAUCCUUGUAUGCAUGCAUGCAUGAUCCAAACUACUUGCGGCAUUUCUCCGUCGCCGGCGGAGGUCAGGGUUAUAGAAGGGGGCGGUGAUGAUAUUCAUUGACAUCUGGUUGGAUUUCUUCUGAGCUAAUGGAUCUGGGCUUGAGAUAACCCGACCCGUAUCUUGGCGGGGCAACAGUCAUGGUUCCGUGAAUCUCACGAGCAUUUGACGUUUGCAGCCAUGGCGGACUCGCAUUUUCUCCUUGCCCUAUCCUAACCUGUUGGUCUGAGCCUCCAUUCUGCGAACCAAUCGUGCUGUUUUGUUACGGAGUACUCCGUAUUAUUUAUUUAUUUAUUUAUUACAGUUGCAGUUUCUCAAGCCCUAUAUUUGGAUUGAUUUGGUAAUUUCUAUGGUGAGGGUUUAUGUGAACACUUGAAAGAGGUAAUGAGUUUCUAAAGGUGGUUGCUCCCUCUCUCUGUUGUUCAAUUAAGCCAUUGAUCUCUCCAAUUUUCCCUAAAAAGUAUGGGAAAUGAUAUACUCAACAAUCCUUGUUGGUUAAAGAUGAUGAUGAUGAGGAAAAGAUUAUGGAUGGAUGGAUAGAUAGAUGAUACUACUGAUUCAACCUUCUGAUCUUCAGUGUGUUGUAGACGUGAAGUGUGAUCUGGAAAAUGGGAUGGAUGGAGUAUUGAUAACUGAGGUAAACAGGCCCUUAAUUUCUAUAUUGAAAUUCUGGCAUGAUUAGUGAACCUGAACCCUAAACCCUAUAUAUGAGGCUGUGAUGAUUAUCUUUGUUGUGAAAUAAAAUUUCAGAUUUUUGAGCUGACCUGUAUCUUGGCUUGGCAGGUUUUUUCUUGCAGCCAUGGCAGGUUUAGCCUUCUGUUAUUAUUGAUAGAGAAAAGAUGAACCUGAGCCUCAUUUACUUUGUUUUUCUUGUCAUGGGUUCAAUUCUUGCAUAUAUAUGUAUGUGUGUGUGUGUGUGUGCAGUCUCACUAUAAGUUCUGCUUGGGAUCAAGCAGUUACUACUACGCCAAAAGUUAUAGCUAGUAGCAAAGUCAUAACCUUAAUUCCUCACAUUUUUUACACGUCCUUACAUUUUUGAGACGCUAGGUGCUUGGCUUGGCUUUAAGCCCUUUACCGGCCACUGGGUGUUUAGACUUGCCGUUACCAGUCUCCACCCAAUAAGUUCAAACUUAACUUUUAGUUGAGGCGAAACACAUCCUUCAACUCAUCCUAGUACUAUUGGGAUGCAUUAGUGUUCAUAUGAUCACAUAUAUGAUUUUGUAAGGAUGGUUGCCCUUUGUGUAUUUACAUGUGCAUUUAUGUAUAAACACAUGCAUAUAUGACUUCCAAACAACAUCGUCACCUGCUAGUCUCACCUAAUGAGACUUUGAUACUAUGGAAAGUGAAGGGUUGUAACUUCAAAAACUGAAGAGGCUGUGAUGAUAUAUUUUUAACAAUACUCUGUAGUUUGGGAAAUAUAUUUUGAGGUAUUCCAUAUUUCAAUUAGCUUGGCUUUGGCAACCGUAAUGGUCUGUGAGUUGGGAGAAUGAAAAUGAGGUAAAACAGAAACAUUUUUCUCUUUGUUCUUAUUCUUCAUAUCUCACAAGGCAAUUGUUGUUACUAGCCUUGGUGAAUUAGCUCCUUUUCUUGAUUAAUUAAGUGAAAAUCUGAGCCUCCUAUAUAAUAUAAAAACAUCUUUUUUGUGUUUUCACAAAUGCACCACACAGGGAAGUGGUGAUAAUCACCAGUUGUCCCAACAAAACGUAUAGCAUCUGGUAUCUCUAUCACAGAAUAUGAUUAUUAAUUCUCCUUUGGGAGUGCGGUGAGAUUUAGUUGAUCUUUUAAAGAUACAUCUGUAUGGGAGUGAGGGUGAUAAUAAUAAGCAUAAUACUCCAUAUGGAAAUUGUGGCCGUCUUAGACCCUAAACUCUAAACCCUAAACAGUAUGAAAGAGGCUGUGAUGAUUCUUUAUAUUUGUCUGAAAAUCUGUUACCUGUAUCUUGGCGUGGCUGUUUUUUUUUUUUUUUUUGCAGCUAGGCAGGUUAACCCUUCUUUUAUUGUUUGAUAGAGAAAAGGCGAAUCUGAGCUUCAUUUACUGUUUUUACUUUCUCCCCCUCAGUAAACUUCCCAUAUUUAUUUAUUUAUUUCUUGGGAGGAAGGCAAACUUAUAAAGUCUUUAUUUUGAGAAUGAGGCUUAACUUCAGAGAGGCAUGAGUUCUAAAGGGUGGUUUCCCCUCUCUGUAACUUUGCCAAUGAUUUCAUCAAUAUCAGAAAGAGGAAAUAAAAAUAGAAGAAACAGCCCUCAUUGUAUGUAUGUACAUAAUCCAACCAAACAUCCCCUGCUUAAAAGUUUCAUAAUUAUUAAUUAAAACUUAUAGGGUGGAUUGGGUGGUCAUUUUAACCCAAAAAAAAAAAAAAAAGAAGAGGCUGUGAUGAUCUCUGUUCUGUGAUGGCAAUUGUUUGAAAGUAGACUUUGAGCUAUUCCAUUAACCUGGCUUGGCAACUGAGGUGCUUAGUGAGGGAGAAAGAGUUGAGUUCAUCAAUUUUCUGUCUCUUCAUCUCACAAGGCAACUUUUGUUAGCAGUCGGUAUUUAGUUCUUUUUCUUGAUUGAAUAAGUGAAAAUCUGAGCCUCGUUACAUUUUGAGGAUAAAUAUAUAAAUAAUAGAUGUGUAUUUUUACUAAUAGUUUAAACUUUUAGUUAAGAUGGAACAAUACAAAAAUGUUCUGUGUGGUUUUGUUACUUGUAGCAGCAUAUGAUUAUCCUUGAAAAACAAAACUCAAGUCUCUCCUGAAGUCUUGAGCACUUGAGUUGGUGUUGACAGUUGGUAACAUGUGAAAGCAAGUAGAUUAUUAGUUUAUAAAUGGAAAUUAGUUUAUUUUAUUUCUUUUUUUUUUCAAUGGAGAGGGUUGGGGCAAUAAAUUAAGUUGUUUUUAUGCCGCAUUGGCUGAAACCUGUUCCAGUUAACAGAAAUAUGCUUAUUCCCGGAAUUCAUGGACAAGUUAAUCUGAACUAUAUCCAUUUGCAUUCUUUCCUUGGUCCUCCUCAAGUGUUUGCCUCAUUUUAGACCUUAAAACUCAAAACGGGAAAUGUAAGAAGAUAAGUAAGAGCAAAGCAGCAAGCAAUGCAGUUAUACAAGGGAUCAGAGUGGAACUAAUGGCAUGGCUCAUAUUUAGAGCUGUUUUUGGACUUCCCCCUUCAUUAUCCGUUAUCCCUGUUAUUGGGCACAAAUGAUUUUUGCAUCAUCUGUCCACCCAUUCAAGAGGUACCUUCAGCAACAUCGUAACGAUGAGAUCUGCAGCCAGUUUGUUCUGAGGCCCCUAUUGUAGAAUGGAGAUGCCUCGAGGAUGAAGUAGCUCGGUGUUUGGAAUCCAUCCCUCCUUCCCGGGAAGUAGGAGUGCUCAAGGGAGAAUACAACAGACUAGCAAGUAAGGAUCGAUACAACUGGCUAGCUCGAGGAUGAACUGUUUAUAUCGAAAAUAGGUGUAUUGUCUGCCCUGUUAAUGACUCAUGAGCUUUUCCAGGGGUGAUAUAUUUAUACCUCAUUUCUUGACAUUGUUGAGCAUAUAAUAUAUAAACAUAAAUGUGUAAUUUAAUUAUCAGCUUAAAUUUUUAGUUGAGAUGGAGCACAUGCUUCAUUAAGUUAUAGGUAUUGAAUUUUUGAUCAUUUCUGCAUUUCAACAUGGAGUGCUUGGCAAAGAUUAUACCAUGAGCAUGUUGUACUGCUAUAAUGGUCUGUAAUAUUGUAGAUUGUAAUUGUAAUAUAAUUAUUUACCAAAUUGAUAUUUAGAUUAUUUUUUUGAAAGAAAAUUGA